GAAGGUACAGCUCAGUGGUAGAGUGCAUGCCUAGCAUGCACAAGGUCCUGGGUUCAAUCCCAAGUACCUCCA
rnacentral:tRNA from 1 species